rnacentral:lncRNA from 1 species
UUUCAACAAAUAAAGUCACCAGCAACAUCACCUUGUAAACACUAGUUCACUAUUAAAGUCACCAAAACUUAAGCUUUUUCAACUAACAAAGGCACCAACGAAAAUAAUUCACUAUUAAAGUUACCAAAACUUAAGUAUUUUCAACAAGUAAAGUCACCAACAACAUCACCUUCUAAACACUAAUUCACUAUUAAAGUUACCAAAACUUAAGUAUUUUCAACAAGUAAAGUCACCAACAACAUCACCUUCUAAACACUAAUUCACUAUUAAAGUUACCAAAACUUAAGUAUUUUCAACAAGUAAAGUCACCAACAACAUCACCUUCUAAACACUAAUUCACUAUUAAAGUUACCAAAACUUAAGUAUUUUCAACAAGUAAAGUCACCAACAACAUCACCUCGUAAACACUAGUUCACUAUUAAAGUCACCAAAACUUACGCUUAUUCAACUAACAAAGGCACCAAUGAAACUAAUUCACUAUUAAAGUCACCAAAACUUAAGCAUUUUCAACAAGUAAAGUCACCAACAACAUCACCUUCUAAACACUAAUUCACUAUUAAAGUCACCGGCACUUAAGCAUUUUCAACAAAUAAAGUAACCAACAACAUCACCUUCUAAACAAAAGUUUACUUUUAAAGUCACCGGCACUUAAGCAUUUUCAACAAAUAAAGUAACCAACCACAUCACCUUCUAAACAAAAGGUCACUACUAAAGUCACCGACACUUAAGUUUUUUCAACAAAUAAAGUCACCAACAACAUCAACUCGUAAACACUAGUUCACUAUUAAAGUCACCAAAACUUAAGUUUUUUCAACUAACAAAGGCACCAAUGAAACUAAUUCACUAUUAAAGUCACCAAAACUUAAGCAUUUUCAACAAGUAAAGUCACCAACAACAUCACUUUCUAAACAAUAAUUCACUAUUAAAGGCACCGGCACACAAGUAUUUUCAACAAAUAAAGUAACCAACAACAUCACCUUCUAAACAAAAGUUCACUUUUAAAGUUACC